UGAGCAACCUGCCCUUGACCCUGGAAUAACAGCUGGAAACAGCUGCUAAUACCGGAUAUGACCUCCGAUGGCAUUAUCUGGUGGUGGAAAGCUCCGACGGUCAAGGAUGGGCUCGCGGCCUAUCAGCUUGUUGGUGAGGUAACGGCUCACCAAGGCUUCGACGGGUAGCCGGCCUGAGAGGGCGACCGGCCACAUUGGAACUGAGACACGGUCCAGACUCCGUAGGAGG
rnacentral:rRNA from 1 species